rnacentral:rRNA from 1 species
UACGUAGGGGGCUAGCGUUGUCCGGAAUCAUUGGGCGUAAAGAGCGUGUAGGCGGCCCGGUAAGUCCGCUGUGAAAGUCGGGGGCUCAACCCUCGAAUGCCGGUGGAUACUGUCGGGCUAGAGUGCGGAAGAGGAGAAUGGAAUUCCCGGUGUAGCGGUGAAAUGCGCAGAUAUCGGGAAGAACACCCGUGGCGAAGGCGGUUCUCUGGGACGGUACUGACGCUGAGACGCGAAAGCGUGGGGAGCGAACAGG